rnacentral:misc_RNA from 1 species
GGGAGAAGUUGGAAGAGAUGAGAGUUUUGGGGUUUUGAUUUUUCUUAUUGGGUGUUGAGAUUUUGAUGUGGGAAAGGGGUUAAAUAGGUAUUAAAAUAAGUUUAUAAACAUCAUCCAAAGUUACCAAAACAUCCUCAUAUUUAUUUGAACUUUCAGACAUGUCAAACUCAACUUUUAUUUCUGGAAUCUUCGUAGUGGAGCAGUUCCCGCAUGAAUUUUUUUGAAAAUAACUUCAGGUACAAUUGAAUCUAUUUUGUGUACCUGACGCGGACCAACAUUAUUACCUAUGAACGGC